GGACAGGCCGCCCCCGCCCCGCGACGCCAGGCAGGAAGGGCUUCCGGGAGCAGCAGCUGUGGACACCCCAAAGAGGAGUGGGCCGCAGCCCAGGUGCACCCGGAGGGGAGAGCAUCCCGGGCCGUGGGAAGAUGCCGAACGCCAGGUGUGGGAAGCGUCGCAGUGGGUUCUGGAAGCUGCCCAGCAGAGCCCCGGGCAGGUUAUUUGAGUAGUCAGUCACUAUUGACUGGAAGAGCAGUGAAUGAAACAGAAGUUCUGAUGGAGUCUACACUCCAGCUGGAGACGGGUCACAAGCCCAAUUCACCAGAUGGCAUAAGACCAUGUUCAUAUACAUGGGCAUAUUGGCAUCCCCCGUGGCCUGCCCAUGGGAUCCUGAUCUCUUCAUUUACCAUCAAGAGCACAGACUCCUCAGUUUCCAGGGAAAGGCCUCCUGGCCCCACUCCUUGGGCCCGGCUCCCCAGACAGGGCUUGGACCCGCCCUGAGGACUGCGGCCUGCAGUGUAGAUCCUGAAAACCCUCAAGGAACAAGACUCUCAACCGUGGACUGAAUGCUCAGGGAACAACGUGUGGAGAGGAAAGGCACAGAGUUGAGAUUAAGACCAUAAAAUUCCCUAUAAUCAUGUUUUCUUGUUUGUUAAUGAUUAAUUAAUUAUCAUUAUAUAUAAUAAUUGAUAUUAUUAAUAAUCGAGGCAGCACCCUCCACGAAGGGACGCCGUGACCACCUUCGUGGGGCUGCAUCCUUCACUCACACAGCAGGUCCUGCGGGCUCCUCCUCGCAGCUGCCGAGAGACCAUCGUGAUUCUGCGUGGCUUUGCUGCUGGUGACCCGAAGGAAGGUCAGAGGCGUCCCUCUCACACAGCUCAGCCUGCCGCUCAUUCUCUGACUUGGGAACAGGGCCACCGGCUUGAGCACUGGGCCAUUUGUGGGCCUUGCUCACAUUUGAGACCCUGGAGAGUCUCCGUGUCUGUCCUCCCCGUCCAGGAUGCCAGAGCAUGCAGGCUGACACAGAGCCCUAGAUGGGCCCCACCAGGGAGGUCUACACAGGCCUGGCGACCUACCCCCUAAGCCCACUAAGCUAGCCUGAGGCCAGGGCCCACCUUCCUCAGCUUCCCUUACUUCCCCCAAGGCUACACUAUGCAAAACAUAAAAUGUU
rnacentral:lncRNA from 1 species